rnacentral:tRNA from 1 species
CUCCGUGUAGCUCAGUUUGGUAGAGCGUCUGCUUUGGGAGCAGAAUGUCGCAGGUUCAAAUCCUGCCGCGGAGACUG